rnacentral:rRNA from 1 species
UACGAAGGGGGCUAGCGUUGCUCGGAAUCACUGGGCGUAAAGGGUGCGUAGGCGGGUCUUUAAGUCAGGGGUGAAAUCCUGGAGCUCAACUCCAGAACUGCCUUUGAUACUGAAGAUCUUGAGUCCGGGAGAGGUGAGUGGAACUGCGAGUGUAGAGGUGAAAUUCGUAGAUAUUGGGAAGAACACCGGUGGCGAAGGCGGCUCACUGGCUCGUAACUGACGCUCAGGCGCGACAGCGUGGGGAUCAAACAGG